rnacentral:rRNA from 1 species
GACGAACGCUGGCGGCGUGCCUAAUACAUGCAAGUAGAACGCACAGUUUAUACCGUAGCUUGCUACACCAUAGACUGUGAGUUGCGAACGGGUGAGUAACGCGUAGGUAACCUGCCUGGUAGCGGGGGAUAACUAUUGGAAACGAUAGCUAAUACCGCAUAAUAUUGAUUAUUGCAUGAUAAUUGAUUGAAAGAUGCUAUUGCAUCACUACCAGAUGGACCUGCGUUGUAUUAGCUAGUAGGUGAGGUAACGGCUCACCUAGGCGACGAUACAUAGCCGACCUGGGAGGGUGGUCGGCCAAACUGGGACUGAGACACGGCCCAGGAUCCUACGGGAGGCAGCAGUAGGGAAUCUUCGGCAAUGGACGAAAGUCUGACCGAGCAACGCCGCGUGAGUGAAGAAGGUUUUCGGAUCGUAAAGCUCUGUUGUAAGAGAAGAACGGGUGUGAGAGUGGAAAGUUCACACUGUGACGGUAUCUUACCAGAAAGGGACGGCUAACUACGUG